rnacentral:rRNA from 1 species
CCUACGGGUGGCAGCAGUGAGGAAUAUUGGUCAAUGGCCGGAAGGCUGAACCAGCCAAGCCGCGUGAAGGACGAAGGUGCCAAGCAUUGUAAACCUCUUUUGUCGGGGAGCAAAGCGAGUCACGUGUGACUCAUUGAGAGUACCCGAAGAAAAAGCAUCGGCUAACUCCGUGCCAGCAGCCGCGGUAAUACGGAGGAUGCGAGCGUUAUCCGGAUUUAUUGGGUUUAAAGGGUGCGCAGGCGGAGGUGCAAGUCAGCGGUCAAAUUGCGGGGCUCAACCCCGUACUGCCGUUGAAACUGCAUCCCUUGAGUGCGCGAGAAGUAUGCGGAAUGCGUGGUGUAGCGGUGAAAUGCAUAGAUAUCACGCAGAACUCCGAUUGCGAAGGCAGCAUACCGGCGCGCAACUGACGCUCAUGCACGAAAGCGUGGGUAUCGAACAGGAUUAGAUACCCUAGUAGUC